UGCAAACGGUGCUGCGUGAAUGGUCGCCUC
rnacentral:sRNA from 1 species